UACAGAGGGUGCGACCGUUGUUCGGAAUUACUGGGCCUAAAGAGCACGUAGGCGGCACCGCAAGUGUGGGGUGAAAUCCCACGGCUUACCCGUGGAACUGCCUGGCAGACUGCGGUGCUAGAGGUUGGUAGGGGAGAGCGGAACUCUUGGUGGAGCGGUGAAAUGCGUAGAUAUCAAGAGGAACACCGGUGGCGAAGGCGGCUCUCUGGAACAACCCUGACGCUGAGGUGCGAAAGCUAGGGGAGCAAACGGG
rnacentral:rRNA from 1 species